GACGCAAUGUUGGUUGAAUGCAGAUGAAAAUAUUUUUUUUAUAAAUAAUUGAUUUUUUUGAUUUGCAGGAAAUUGAACAAACAAUGUCCACGACAGGUCAGGUUGAAAAAGAUUCCUGGUGUGCCGUGUUCGGGCUCGGCGCCGUCGGACUGGGCGCCGAAUGUGUGGACCCCAGAGAUCACAGCAAGCCCAUCCAGGAGGUCUUGGCAGAGAUGACAGACGGAGGGGUCGACUACGCUCUGGAGUGUGUGGGGAGUCCAGCUGUCAUGGUGGAUGCUGGACAACUACACACUCCAGUUUCACCAGUAUCUGGGGACAUGUAUUUUGACAGGUAGUACUAGACUGCUGCGCUUGAGUCUACAAGAGAUUCCUGGGGCACCUGUGUGAUCGCAGGGUGGACGGAGAGAGAGGCAAUGAGGUUGAUAAGCUGCUGAUGGAACGCACCUUGAAGGGGACUAACUUUUGACGGGAGUUAUCUUAAUGCUUCGGCAGCAAUUCAAGGUUGGAAGAGCGUGGAGGAUGUGCCCAAACUGGUGGACGACUACAUGAACAAGUGUUGUGGACGAGUUCAUAACCCACAACCUCCCUCUGGAUCAAAUCAAUGUGGCCUUUGACCUUCUGAAAAGUGGG